rnacentral:rRNA from 1 species
UACGUAGGGGGCAAGCGUUGUCCGGAUUUAUUGGGCGUAAAGAGCGUGUAGGCGGCCAGGUAGGUCAGCUGUGAAAACUCGAGGCUCAACCUCGAGACGCCGGUUAAAACCAUCUGGCUAGAGUCCGGAAGAGGAGAGUGGAAUUCCUGGUGUAGCGGUGAAAUGCGCAGAUAUCAGGAAGAACACCCGUGGCUAAGGCGGCUCUCUAGUACGGUACUGACGCUGAGACGCGAAAGCGUGGGGAGCGAACAGG